rnacentral:rRNA from 1 species
UAUGUAGGGUGCGAGCGUUGUCCGGAAUUAUUGGGCGUAAAGAGCGCGUAGGCGGUCCGAUAAGUCGGCUGUGAAAGGUCAGGGGCUCAACCCUUGGAAGCCGGCCGAUACUGUCGGACUAGAGUCCGGAAGAGGCAAGUGGAAUUCCCGGUGUAGCGGUGAAAUGCGCAGAUAUCGGGAGGAACACCAAUGGCGAAGGCAGCUCGCUGGGACGGUACUGACGCUGAGACGCGAAAGCGUGGGGAGCAAACAGG